rnacentral:rRNA from 1 species
UACGUAGGGGGCUAGCGUUGUCCGGAUUUAUUGGGCGUAAAGAGCGUGUAGGCGGCCAGGUAGGUCCGUUGUGAACACUCGAGGCUCAACCUCGAGACGCCGAUGGAAACCAUCUGACUAGAGUCCGGAAGAGGAGAGUGGAAUUCCUGGUGUAGCGGUGAAAUGCGCAGAUAUCAGGAAGAACACCCGUGGCUAAGGCGGCUCUCUAGUACGUGACUGACGCUGAGACGCGAAAGCGUGGGGAGCGAACAGG